GCCCUCUUGAGCUCUUGUGGUGACCUGGGAAUCAAUGUGUGAGGUGGUGCUAUGUAGCAGGAACCCCUCUUGCUUUGCAAAUAGUUUUUUGUUUGUUUUCCUUUUUGCCCAAUAGAGCCCUGCUCUACUGACCCUUCAAUGUGCCCGUGUGCCUAAAUAUUCCUGGUCGUGUGAAAAGAACCCAGGUAUUAGCUGAACUAAGGAGCACAAUUCUGCAACAUUUUGGCACCCAAACACGGGGCUUGAGAAAUGAAUGCAAUUGGAGAAACUGGUUGUUUUACCAGGCGUUGAUUGGAAAUGUGUGCUUCCCUUUAAGCAGUCAAGCUCAACUUGCAGAACUGAUGGGAACCCCUUGGGAAAACUGGCCUCAAAUGUUUGUCUACACAGUCCACAUACAGGGUUCUUAACCUGCGGUGAGUAAAGAAUGUCACUUUCCAACAGGCCCAGAUAUCAUAUGCUCUUGGGACCUCAAGAAGAGAGGAGUUUACCCAAUUCAUAGGUGUGUGAGGAUAAAAACCUAGGGCUGGGCUCAGCUUUAAAUGGUCUUAUCUGAGAUUCUUUGUGAAACAGAUUUUCAUGAAAGCCAAUCUAGAGGGCCUACGUAGAAAUAAUUGUUUUUGCUGCACUUUAUGCACAUAAUCAAGCCAAUUAUAAGACUAAAGUCUAUAUUGCAAGCAACACACUCCUAUUAUGAUUUGUUUUUAACAGAAAUGAGGACGAGACAGAGAGAAAUUAUGUUUCAAAACUUAUCAUCAUUAGUUUCUAGACUUAUUAUUUCUUUUUAAGUUUUUACCUACAUUUUAGACUGACCCUGCUUGUGCCUGUGAACCAACCAACAAUCUCUGGCUGCAGCUCAGAAAGGACAAAAGAGAAUGGGUAAUGUAAAAACCUGGAUCAGUAUUUUAGUUCUGAACAAUUAUCCUGCAAAUCCUGCCAGCUGAUGGGAAUAAAUAGGAUGCCCAUGAUCCGGAGGUUUACUUUUUGGGAAAGUAAAACCAAGGGAGCUAACCAAAGUAAAACCCCAUACACCCAAAUCUGAGCAAGCAUAACUAUAGCCACCAGUUAUCUGGGUGUGUCACAAGACACUCUUUUCUUUCCUUUGUUGGAGGAGAACUCAUUUCCACAGCUUCACUUUAGCAUUAUGGCUUAUGUUAAGGAGUCUAUGCAACUUCCAUGCUGAGACACGUUUUUGGUCCCAAAGUUAAUUCCAAGCUUUGUGUCAAAGGCCUAAGAAAACUGGAUCUUAGGGAUCCAGAAGCCAGACAAUAAUGAAAGUCAAAAGGCACAGCACAGGUGAGCAUGACUAAUUCCCGCUGAUUAAGCCAAGCUUCCUGUUUCAUGGAUAAAGGUCAUGCUAGUAUCCAUGGCAUAAAUGAGGUCUAGAGAACUAAAAGGCUACUGCCAGCAGGGGAGAUAGGGAGGACAUAAGACAGGGCAGCUAUUCCCAUCCCCUAGACCCCCUGUUAACAUGGAUGAAAGCCACUUUGACACCCAUGGGUGGCACCCUGUCACAGUUGGUGGGACUCAGCAAUACAGGGACAGAGGAAAGAAAGAGGAACAACUCACUUUCUCUCCCUCACACACCCUGAGUAUUUGCUAGAAAAAGAAAGGAACCAGGCACACAUGCUCCCCUAUUUCUAGAUGAGUAGCCAUUCAUCUUUAGUCUGCACCCUUUUAGAACAUGUCCUGAACCCCUGGGACUCUUCUGAAAAAAAUGCCUUCUUUUUUCCUUUUUCUUCCUCUGUCCUCUAUUCACUGGUAGGUAGGUAAUGGUGUCCCAUACCACAGAACACUUCCCUCAGAUGCAUCCUUCUAACUGGGAGGAGUUAAUUUCUCAAACCGUAGACUAAUUGGCUUAGGAUUAGGUUCAGGGGAAGGGAACACAGAAACAUGACAUGCCAGCAAAAGGGUAAAAGGUUUUUUUUCCCCGUUGGGCUUUUGGCCUCUCUCUCCCUGUGCAAACUGGUAAAAGGCGUCUGGAUUUUCUAGUUGUCCUUACCCACUGCUUGUUUCGUUUUGAUACAUAUUUUCUAAUAACCUGUUUGUCUCUUCUCACUUUUAGGCCAUCAAACUCCAGUCUGCACCUGGAGCCUUGGAUGAUGGCCUUUUUUACUGGGAACCCUGAAAUAGGCCUCUGAGGGAAAUCUGAUUGCCAUUUUCCCAAAACAGCUUCCCUGACAAUAGGAAGCAAUUAAGAUUGGUCUUCAUCCUUAUCUUUAUCCUUAUUCUAAUGGCAGUUAGAGGUACUUCUUUAGAGGGGGGAAUGAGACAGCCAAAUGCCUAGGCAGAUAAAAAGGUGUACCUGGAAAAUUUCCAACCCGUCACACAAGUGUUUACAUCAGAUGCUUUUGUGUAGAUGAGGGAAACUUCCCAGGGCUUGUCUGGGUAUGCCCACAGUGGACUGGAGCCCAAAAUGCACACUGGAGGAAGUGGAUGGAGCCACGUGGAUGUCAUGCCUUAUGCAGGGGAGGAGCCUGCUCUCUUCAGCUCCUGUGGUAAUGUGGGAAUCGAUCUGUGAGGAAACACUUUCUGAAAAUGUCAGAACUCUUGAAAACAUGGAUGAGGAAAAGCAUAAGUACUGCUUUAUGCUUUUCUUAUGAAUUUUAAAAGAUGUAAUUUAAAGGUACUUUAAAGUGAUAUUUGUGCCCUUGUAACUGAUUCAAAGUAGACUGCUAAGGACAAUAAGUAAUAAGAGUCUACAAAUAUCAGUAAAUUAUGAGAAAAAACGGUCUAAUGGUACUUAAAAUUGCAUUGUGAUUUAUUAAAUAACAUUGAACAGCUCCACCUGUAACAUUAAGAUUCCAUUUGAGCAUAUAGAAAAUAUAUUUAUCGCAACCUGAAGUGAUUUGGAAAGUAUGCUGGGAAGAAAAUAUAUUUACAAAUUAGUCUCAGAGGGUAGGUAUCCUGUAGCCAGAUGGAAUAAGAAGAGAGGGAAGGGAGAUUUUGUUCAAAGGGGGAGCAUAAGCUAAGGAAUAAAGCCACAAACAAUGAUUAAAUUAGGUAAAGUGCAAUUAGCUGAAUAUUGCAUAAGCAUACAUAUGGGAAGAAGUGGAAAAAGGAGUGACAAUAUGAAGCUAAAGGGUUUGAAGUGUUCAAGAUAAUACUAGGCUUCCUAGCCUAUUCCGAGACAUCUUGUUUUAGAGUGCAAUAGAUAAGAACUCUAAGGAUGAAAGUAGGAGACAUGCAUUCUAGUCUACGUUUUGGUUAAUGGACUGAAAGUGAAAGAUGGACUGAAAUUGGGGGAUGGAAUAAAAAUGUGAUAGAAUAGAAAAUAGAAAAAGCAAUUAGCCUAAUGUCAUUGAUACUUAGAGAAAAUAUGGAAAAUAGUAAAUUAGUGAUAUAUAUCUUUUCUAAUUCACCAGGGUGAGUGAACAAAGGAAAUCGGAUUUAAAAGUAUUCAUGACAUAGAUGCAAUAAGGUUUCUCAGUCAGACAUAGCAAAUUGAGGGAAGGGAAGAUUUAGAGGAUUGGAAAAUGUCUUGCUUGUAGACUAAUAGGAUAUCAAUAAGCCAUAUGAGCAAUAAUUUGAAAUAGUUUUUGUAAAGUAUCAUGAAGGUAAACCCUGUUUAGAACAAAUUAGAUUUGAAGUACUUGUGACAAAUGCAAUUGACAAUGCCUUUAUGCAGCUGGAAAAUUGUUGCUUAGCAGAAAAGCUUGUGCUGGACAAAUAGAUGUCCAAAUUGAAUAGAUGUUUUCUUAAGCUGAACUAAUUGAGACAAAUAUCCUUAUUAAAUCAAAAAAUUAAAAAUUGAAAUAACUUACCUAUGAUAGGGUAAAUAAUGUUAUUAAUAUACACAAGAAAUAUGUGAUGUAUAUGUGUAUGUACAUAUGUAUACAUAGUAAUAAUACAUAGUGCUAUUUUUAAAUGAUAUUUUACAUAGUGCUUUUUUAAAUGAUUUUUCAAUCAUCGUUGUUGGUCUGUGUUAUUUUAAUCAUCAAAGCUGAUUGAUUUCUGUUUUUGUGUUUUUUUUUGUUUUUUUUGAGGUGGAGUCUCACUCUGUCACCCAUGGUGGAGUACAGUAGUGCGGUCUUAGCUCACUACAAACUCCACUUCCCUGAUUCAAGUAAUUCUUGUGCCUCAGCCUCUCGAGUAGCUUGGAUUGCAGGCAUGCACCACCACGAGCUGCUAAAUUUUUUGUAUUUUUUGUAGAGGGGUUUUGCCAUGUUGGCCAAGCUGGUCUCAAACUCCUGACCUCAAGUGAUCCGCCCUGGCUUCCCAAGCCCAGCUGAUUCCUGUUUAAAUAAAAACUUACAAAGAUCUUCCCACAAGUACUUUAUCUUACAAUUUACUGAACAAUAGAGGCAGUGAAGAUGUUUUUCAGAAAGCAAUUGUGAUCCUGACAUUUUCUUCUUAUAAUCCUGUGCUUUCCUCAUUUUUUUAUAUUAAAAGUAAUAGUUCUUGUGAUGGCAACUAGGAUUUGUAACAACAUGUACCCUCAUUUCCUGCAUGACCUUUUUUAUGUCACUUCUUCACAUGCAAAGUAUACUCCCUCAGUGUCAUUACAUUAUUUGAUUUUUGCCCUUUCCCUCACCUUUCCAUGUGUUUAUUUGCCUAUGCCCAUCUCCUAGUCACAUUUUAUCUAGUUAACGCCAACUUGACUUUCAAUGCUGUUCAAGAUUUACCUCAAUCUCAAGUGUUUUCUCUUUAUAUUCCAUACACGCUUAGCUUGGCUGCCAAUCCUCUUGGCUGCCAAAGAAUCCCAAAUUAUCUCUUUCAAAAAUACAAGAAAUAAAGGAUGGAGGAUAGGAAGGAGGGUGGUCAGGAAAGAACAAAGAAAGGAGGGGAGAGGAAAAAAAGAGAGAAAGAAAGAGAAUUAAAGUUAAGGAGGAAGAAUUUCACACUGAAUUAAAAUUGAUAAUAUUCAGGAAUGAUUUUAUAGUAGGCAUACAUUGAUAAAUAUUAGUUAAAUUAAUGAAUUAUUCCAAAAGAUCAUGAUUUGUAAAAAUUACCCUGAAGCACUUUAGGAAUAUUACAUUGAAAUAGGUAUGCAAUUUCUAAAGAAACUGGACUGCAAAAAUAGCCAUUGUGUGUACCUGUGGACCAGAAUAUUAUAUUUUGCUUAAGUUUGAAGUGUUAAAGUGCCCAACGUGCUCUUAUUUUAACCUAGCAAAUUUUCAGCAGAACUUAAGCUCAUAUAGUAUUUGAUUUUUUCAUUUCUCACAACUGUUGGAAUUCUGUUUUAUUGAAAAUUAUACAAUAAAAUGUUAAAAAAUCUUUGUUCCUGCAGUUAUGCAAUCUUAUGCCAAAGUCAAUAAAUUAUUAAAUUAAAAUCAAACCCACUAAGCCUAACAAUUUGAGAAAAUGAUUAUUAAAACAUAUACCAUUUAGAAGGGCAAUGCCUUUUUAAUAUUAUAGUGAAGACAACCCUAUCAAUUAUUUAAUACACCAAGAAUACAAGGAUAUAAAAUCUUUUUCUCUCAUAUAUCACAUUAUCUGAUGUAUUUAGCUGUGAUGACAUUCCAGAAAACAUCACUUUUUAAAAUUUCUAAGAUUUUAUUAUGUUGCUAGCAAAUCGAUUUUUUUCAAGUACUGUAACAAAAUCCCUAAAUGGGCUUUAUGAGAACUAUUUUCAGUGUGAUAUUAAUCAUAUUUUAUUUAUCAUCCAUACAUAGAUGGUAGCUUAUCUGGUAUUCCUAGUGUUUGAAGUGAAGAGUAACACACACACACAUCCCAAUACCAAUUUAAUUGAUAAAUAUAUAAUCAUUUGUUUUCAAAUAUUUAUGUUGAUACUUGCUUGUGUACUUACUUGUAAUGUAGGUCUGUAAAAGGGACUGUUUUCUUUCUGUGAAACUGAAGCUUAAAGCAGUGCUUGUCACAAAUUCAAAAUCACCUUGCUUUGUCAACAUUUUCAGAUGUUUUUGGCUCAGUCUGAUGACAGCAUCAGUGCAGUAAAGGGAUCUUAUUGAAAUGUUUUAACUAAAGAUAAAAUGCCACCACUAGGAGAAAAAUAAAAUCAAGGAAAUAAACAGAAAAUCAAUAAAUGUGAAAUGUAUUAUAAAUUUAUAUAAUAACAAUGUUGUAUGCUAUAAACAUCUCACUUUGUAAAAUUAACAAGAAUUCAGUGAGGCAGAUCAUUUUCUAUGUGUUCAGAAGUCAAGUCUUUGAUGGCUAAUUUUUAUAUUACUUCAUUACAAUAUCUCUACUGAAGCAAAAUAAUUGCAAAUCUUUUUGAAUGAAAUCAAUUUAUCUUUAAUUUUAGAUAAUAUUUGGUAUAGUUGGCAUAGUUUUGUCACAAAGCAUAGCUAACAUCAAUGUAGCCUUACGACUUCAAAUGUCUUUAUAGAUCUUUUCUGAAAUUGCAAAAUUUUACUUUGAAAUUAUUGUUAAUAUUUACGUUGCACAACCACAAAUGUAGAAAUAAAAUUAUAAAGUCUCCAGAUAAUGUUUUAUUUUAACCACACAUAUGUUGUGAUAGUUUCAAAUAAAUGAAAGCUCUACUGAUUUA
ensembl:lncRNA PURPL p53 upregulated regulator of p53 levels